UGGUCUCUUUCCUGACAACUCGUCCAGAUGUA
rnacentral:piRNA from 1 species